rnacentral:snRNA from 1 species
AUCUCUGCGCAGUGGCAGUAUCGUAGCCUAUGAGGUUUAUCCGGCGUGAUUAUUGCUAGUUGAAAACUUUACCCAAUACCCCGCCUAGACGACUUGAAAUAUAGUCGGCGACGGCAAUUUUGACGGUCUCUAUGGAGA